rnacentral:rRNA from 1 species
CAGUAGCGCGGGAAUACGGAGGGUGCAAGCGUUAAUCGGGAUUACUGGCGUAAAGCGCACGCAGGCGGUUUGUUAAGUCAGAUGUGAAAUCCCCGAGCUUAACUUGGGAACUGCAUUUGAAACUGGCAAGCUAGAGUCUUGUAGAGGGGGGUAGAAUUCCAGGUGUAGCGGUGAAAUGCGUAGAGAUCUGGAGGAAUACCGGUGGCGAAGGCGGCCCCCUGGACAAAGACUGACGCUCAGGUGCGAAAGCGUGGGGAGCAAACAGGAUUAGAUACCCCUGUAGUCCCUGUCUCUUAUACAC